rnacentral:rRNA from 1 species
GACGAACGCUGGCGGCGUGCUUAACACAUGCAAGUCGAACGAAGAGCGAUGGAAGCUUGCUUCUAUCAAUCUUAGUGGCGAACGGGUGAGUAACGCGUAAUCAACCUGCCCUUCAGAGGGGGACAACAGUUGGAAACGACUGCUAAUACCGCAUACGAUCUAAUCUCGGCAUCGAGGAUAGAUGAAAGGUGGCCUCUACAUGUAAGCUAUCACUGAAGGAGGGGAUUGCGUCUGAUUAGCUAGUUGGGGGGGUAACGGCCCAACAAGGCGAUGAUCAGUAGCCGGUCUGAGAAGAUGAACGGCCACAUUGGGACUGAGACACGGCCCAGACUCCUACGGGAGGCAGCAGUGGGGAAUCUUCCGCAAUGGACGAAAGUCUGACGGAGCAACGCCGCGUGAGUGAUGACGGCCUUCGGGUUGUAAAGCUCUGUUAAUCGGGACGAAAGGCCUUCUUGCGAACAGUUAGAAGGAUUGACGGUACCGGAAUAGAAAGCCACGGCUAACUACGUG